UACAGAGGUCUCAAGCGUUGUUCGGAUUCAUUGGGCGUAAAGGGCGCGUAGGCGGGGAGGUAAGUCGGGUGUGAAAUCCCUCGGCCCAACUGAGGAACUGCGCCCGAGACUGCUUCUCUUGAGUCCCGGAGAGGAAGAUGGAAUUCCCGGUGUAACGGUGAAAUGUGUAGAGAUCGGGAGGAACACCGGUGGCGAAGGCGGUCUUCUGGACGGUGACUGACGCUGAGGCGCGAAAGCGUGGGGAGCAAACGGG
rnacentral:rRNA from 1 species